rnacentral:rRNA from 1 species
AGUCGAACGCUUCUUUUUCCACCGGAGCUUGCUCCACUGGAAAAAGAGGAGUGGCGAACGGGUGAGUAACACGUGGGUAACCUGCCCAUCAGAAGGGGAUAACACUUGGAAACAGGUGCUAAUACCGUAUAACAAUCGAAACCGCAUGGUUUUGAUUUGAAAGGCGCUUUCGGGUGUCGCUGAUGGAUGGACCCGCGGUGCAUUAGCUAGUUGGUGAGGUAACGGCUCACCAAGGCGACGAUGCAUAGCCGACCUGAGAGGGUGAUCGGCCACAUUGGGACUGAGACACGGCCCAAACUCCUACGGGAGGCAGCAGUAGGGAAUCUUCGGCAAUGGACGAAAGUCUGACCGAGCAACGCCGCGUGAGUGAAGAAGGUUUUCGGAUCGUAAAACUCUGUUGUUAGAGAAGAACAAGGAUGAGAGUAACUGUUCAUCCCUUGACGGUAUCUAACCAGAAAGCCACGGCUAACUACGUGCCAGCAGCCGCGGUAAUACGUAGGUGGCAAGCGUUGUCCGGAUUUAUUGGGCGUAAAGCGAGCGCAGGCGGUUUCAUAAGUCUGAUGUGAAAGCCCCCGGCUCAACCGGGGAGGGUCAUUGGAAACUGGGAGACUUGAGUGCAGAAGAGGAGAGUGGAAUUCCAUGUGUAGCGGUGAAAUGCGUAGAUAUAUGGAGGAACACCAGUGGCGAAGGCGGCUCUCUGGUCUGUAACUGACGCUGAGGCUCGAAAGCGUGGGGAGCAAACAGGAUUAGAUACCCUGGUAGUCCACGCCGUAAACGAUGAGUGCUAAGUGUUGGAGGGUUUCCGCCCUUCAGUGCUGCAGCUAACGCAUUAAGCACUCCGCCUGGGGAGUACGACCGCAAGGUUGAAACUCAAAGGAAUUGACGGGGGCCCGCACAAGCGGUGGAGCAUGUGGUUUAAUUCAAAGCAACGCGAAGAACCUUACCAGGUCUUGACAUCCUUUGACCACUCUAGAGAUAGAGCUUCCCCUUCGGGGGCAAAGUGACAGGUGGUGCAUGGUUGUCGUCAGCUCGUGUCGUGAGAUGUUGGGUUAAGUCC